rnacentral:rRNA from 1 species
GACGAACCUGGCGGCGUGCCUAAUACAUGCAAGUAGAACGCUGAAGGAGGAGCUUGCUUCUCUGGAUGAGUUGCGAACGGGUGAGUAACGCGUAGGUAACCUGCCUGGUAGCGGGGGAUAACUAUUGGAAACGAUAGCUAAUACCGCAUAAGAGUAGAUGUUGCAUGACAUUUGCUUAAAAGUGCAAUUGCAUCACUACCAGAUGGACCUGCGUUGUAUUAGCUAGCUGGUGAGGUAACGGCUCACCAAGGCGACGAUACAUACCGACCUGAGAGGGUGAUCGGCCACACUGGGACUGAGACACGGCCCAGACUCCUACGGGAGGCAGCAGUAGGGAAUCUUCGGCAAUGGACGGAAGUCUGACCGAGCAACGCCGCGUGAUGAAGAAGGUUUUCGGAUCGUAAAGCUCUGUUGUAAGAGAAGAACGAGUGUGAGAGUGAAA